AUUUAACAUCUUAUUUUUUAUUUUUAAUUAAAAUAUUAUAAUAUUUAGUAGUUUAGAAAUAUGUAAUUUUAUUAUAGUUUAUAGUACCGCUAGGGGGUGAUUUUAGAAGAUUUUUCAAAGAAGAAUUAAUUUUUUGUACCUUGUGUGUCAGGGUUUAAUAAAAUAAGGUUAAGGAUUUAAUUUUCCCGAAUUCAAAAGAGCUAAGAGUAAGUUAUUUUUUUGUAACAUAAAAAUUUAUAACUUUUUCUUAGUAAUGAAAUGUUAUUUCGUUUUUGAUUAUAUCUGGUUUUUUGAGAAUUAAAUUUAAUUUUAUGGUUAUUAUUUUUUCUAGUUAUUUUAUUCUUUUAAUAAGUUAACCUUAAACUUCUCUAGGGAAAAGCUUAGUUAAGUAUUACUAUAAUUUUUUAUUAUUAAUCUAGGAUUUUAGGAUUAAAAGUUUCUAUUUUAAAGUGUGUUAUUACUUUCCUUUGGUUAUUUAUUAAUUUAUUAAUAUUUAGAUUUUUUAUUGAAAAGAUAAUUUUAAUUUUAGAAUUUUGUAAUAAUGUUAUAAUUAGUAAAUUGUUUUGGGGAUUUAUUUAUAAUAUUUUAUUGUUAAUAAGGAAUUAGGCAAGGUUUCUUCGCCUGUUUAUUAAAAACAUGUCCUUUUGCUUUAAAAUUUAAGGUCUAACCUGCCCAAUGAAGAGUUCAAUGGCCGCGAUAUUUUGAUCGUGCGAAGGUAGCAUAAUCAUUAGUUUUUUAAUUGGAAGCUGGUAUGAAUGGUUGGACGAAGGAAACUCUGUCUCACUAGCAUAGAUUGAAUUUUAUUUUUAAGUUAAAAAGCUUAAAUUUUUUUAAAAGACGAGAAGACCCUAUAGAGUUUAUAUAUUUAAUAUUAUUUUAAAUUUAAGAAUUUAUUUUUAAGGUUUUUAUUAACUAUUUUGUUGGGGUGACAAAAGGAUUAGCAUAACUCCUUUUAUAAAAAAUAUUGAUUUUUAGGUUAAUGAUUUGCUUUAGCAAUUAUAAGUUAAAUUACCUUAGGGAUAACAGCGUUAUUUAUUUGGAGAGUUCAAAUCGAUAAAUAAGAUUGCGACCUCGAUGUUGGAUUAAAGUUAAAUUUUGGUGUAGAAGCUAAGAUAAUUAGUCUGUUCGACUAUUAAUUCUUUACAUGAUCUGAGUUUAAACCGGCGUGAGCCAGGUUGGUUUCUAUCUUUAAUAAAUUUAAAUAUUUUAGUACGAAAGGACCAAAUAUUUCUUUAAUAAAGUUAAAUAGAAUAUUAAU
rnacentral:rRNA from 1 species